AUAAUGGAGAGUUUGAUCCUGGCUCAGGACGAACGCUGGCGGCAUGCCUAAUACAUGCAAGUCGAGCGGAACGUUGGGAGCUUGCUCCC
rnacentral:rRNA from 1 species